rnacentral:rRNA from 1 species
AGUGGCGGACGGGUGAGUAAUGUCUGGGAAACUGCCUGAUGGAGGGGGAUAACUACUGGAAACGGUAGCUAAUACCGCAUACCAUCAGCUGUGCCCAGAUGGGAUUAGCUUGUUGGUGGGGUACCGGCUCACCAAGGCGACGAUCCCUAGCUGGUCUGAGAGGAUGACCAGCCACACUGGAAGUGAGACACGGUCCAGACGCAUACGGGAGGCAGCAGUGGGGAAUAGUGCCCAAUGUGCGCAAGCCGGAUGCAGCCAUGCCGCGUGUAUGAAGAAGGCCUUCGGGUUGUAAAGUACUUUCAGCGGGGAGGCGUUACCCGAAGAAGAAGCACCGGCUAACUCCGUGCCAGCAUCCGCGGUAAUAC